GAUCCGCCGGUGGAUUUUUAGCCCUGGUGGGUAGCUUCCCGGAAACGAAAGUCUUCCGGUUCCGGGGGAAGUAUGGUUGCAAAGCUGAAACUUAAAGGAAUUGACGGAAGGGCACCACCAGGAGUGGAGCCUGCGGCUUAAUUUGACUCAACACGGGGAAACUCACCCGGCCCGGACACCGUAAGGAUUGACAGAUUGAUAGCUCUUUCAUGAUUCGGUGGUUGGUGGUGCAUGGCCGUUCUUAGUUCGUGGAUCGAUUUGUCUGGUUUAUUCCGAUAACGAGCGAGACUCUAGCCUACUAAAUAGUAACGAGAUUAUCAAUGUCUCAGUUGCUUCUUAGAGGGAUUUUCGGUGUUUAGCCGCACGAGAUUGAGCAAUAACAGGUCUGUGAUGCCCUUAGAUGUCCGGGGCUGCACGCGCGCUACACUGGCGAAAUCAGCGUGCUGUAUCCAUUCUCGAAAGGGAUUGGUAAACCCAUGAAAAUUUGCCGUGCUUGGGAUCGGAAAUUGCAAUUAUUUUCCGUGAACGAGGAAUUCCAAGUAAGUGCGAGUCAUCAACUCGCUCUGAUUACGUC
rnacentral:rRNA from 2 species